GGGACACGCGCGGCACGCAGAGGGGCGCGCGUUUGCGGGUGGCGGCGAGCGGCCGGGGGGAGCCCAGGGAGCUGGCGGGGACGGGCUGGCCUCUUCCCCGCUGCGGCCCAGGGGCCCGGCCCAGAGUUAGGAACCCCUCGUGGUGUUCGGGGGUCCCCGUGGGGAAGGAGCUGAACGUGGUUUCCUGCGUUGCGGGCUCCAGGAUCGCCCCUCCCGGUGCCUCGUUCACCUCACGCUGCGGUGCGUUUGUCCUGGGGAAGUUGAGCGGGCCGCGGAGUGGACGGAACAACUCAGGUGACCCUGACCGGAAACCAGUUGGCGGACAUCCUUGAAGCUGUGGUUCCUGAAUUUGAAGAAAAGAGAUCUCCCGCCUGGACAGAGGACUGUGUCCAGCUCUUCCUCCCAAGCCCUCUCUGAACGUAUCUUCCCCAGCAUCCUCUAACAAAGAUGCGUCAGCUCAAAGGGAAGCCAAAGAAGGAGACGUCCAAGGACAAGAAGGAGCGCAAGCAGGCCAUGCAGGAGGCCCGGCAGCAGAUCACCACGGUGGUGCUGCCAACCGUGGCCGUGGUGGUGCUGCUGAUCGUCGUGUUUGUGUAUGUGGCCACGCGUCCGGCGGUCAGCGAGUGACUGCCUCCAUGCCAGCUAUCCUCUGCGGAGAUGCCCACAGUGCUGAGAUCCGAGCAGAAGUGCCCUGUCUUCUCUGCUCUUUGACUUGAUUAAGAUUUCUCUACUUUUUUGGGGGGCGGAGGGAAUAGGGAACAUUUUAUCAGUGAAUGUGCCAUACACCUGAUGGUCCACUUCAUGUGCCUUUCAGACUUAAAAGCAGUGUGUGCAUGCGUGUGUGCGUGUG